UACGAAGGGGGCUAGCGUUGUUCGGAAUUACUGGGCGUAAAGGGCGCGUAGGCGGCGCGGGUAGUCAACGGUGAAAGCUUGGGGCUCAACCCCGAGUCGGCCGUCGAUACUCCCGUGCUUGAGCACUGUAGAGGCAGGUGGAAUUCCGGGUGUAGCGGUGGAAUGCGUAGAGAUCCGGAAGAACACCGGUGGCGAAGGCGGCCUGCUGGGCAGUAGCUGACGCUGAGGCGCGACAGCGUGGGGAGCAAACAGG
rnacentral:rRNA from 1 species